UGAUUGUGGCCAAAAGACUUGGAGACUGACAAAUGUUUUUGUACAGAUAGUUCUUAAGAUA
rfam:Drosophila ficusphila unplaced genomic scaffold scf7180000453835, whole genome shotgun sequence